GAAAUGCGAUAAGUAAUGUGAAUUGCAGAAUUCAGUGAAUCAUCGAAUCUUUGAACGCACAUUGCGCCCGGCAGCAAUCUGCCGGGCAUGCCUGUCCGAGCGUCAUUUCUGCCCUCGAGCAGCGGCUCCCGUCACCCCUGGGGGGACGGGGGCCGCCCGCCCGGUGUUGGGGCGCUGCGGGCCGCCUCGAGCCCGCAGGCCCCGAAAUGAAGUGGCGGUCCCGCCGCGGCGCCCCCUGCGUAGUAAGUCUCAGGACCUCGCAUCGGGCCCCGGCGUCGGCCAGCCGUCGAACCUGUCUCUCUAGAUGGUUUGACCUCGGAUCAGGUAGGGUUACCCGCUGAACUUGAGC
rnacentral:misc_RNA from 1 species